GAUGAACGCUAGCUACAGGCUUAACACAUGCAAGUCGAGGGGAAACGCCAUCGAAAGCUUGCUUUUGAUGGGCGUCGACCGGCGCACGGGUGAGUAACGCGUAUCCAACCUGCCCAUCACUUGGGAAUAACCUUGCGAAAGUAAGACUAAUACCCAAUGAUAUCCCACGAAGGCAUCGGAAUGGGAUUAAAGAUUUAUCGGUGAUGGAUGGGGAUGCGUCUGAUUAGCUUGUUGGCGGGGUAACGGCCCACCAAGGCAACGAUCAGUAGGGGUUCUGAGAGGAAGGCCCCACACAUUGGAACUGGGACACGGGCCAAACUCCUAGGGGAGGCAGCAGUGGGGAAUAUGGGGCAAGGGGGGAGAGCCUGAACCAGCCAAGUAGCGGGCAGGAAGACGGGCUUAUGGGGUGUAAACUGCUUUUAUAAGGGAAUAAAGUGGGUCACGUGGGACUUUUGGCAGGGACCUUAGGAAAAAGGACCGGCAAAUUCCGG
rnacentral:rRNA from 1 species